rnacentral:rRNA from 1 species
GACGAACCGUGCGAACGUUGUUCGGAAUCACUGGGCUUAAAGGGCGCGUAGGCGGGCGGUCAAGUCUGUGGUGAAAUCCUUCGGCUCAACCGGAGAAUAGCUGGAGAUACUGGCCGUCUCGAGGGGGGUAGGGGCAUGUGGAACUUCCGGUGGAGCGGUGAAAUGCGUAGAUAUCGGAAGGAACGCCGGUGGCGAAAGCGGCAUCCUGGACCGAUACUGACGCUGAGGAGCGAAAGCCAGGGGAGCAAACGGG